AGCAUUACUAAUCAUGAUUUAUGCCUUUGCAGUUUGAUAUAUGGUAGGUAAUAACAACGUUUCAAAUUAUAGAUAUGUUGAUACACUCCUUAAUAUAUACACCUCAACAUGAACACUGUAAGCAGAUUCACAAAGUCUUUACACUAAAAGAAAUGAAAGUCAUUAUGAAGGUCACAACUUCACUCUGCAUUCAUAUAACUGUAUUAAUGGCGCAUCAGAAAGGUCUUCUUGCUCAAUACAACUGACAAAUACUAAAUCUCACUUCAACAAAGUCGAGGAUCUUUAAAAGUGUAUCAGUUUGAGUCCAUUUAAUGUUGGACGUAUGUCAGAGAGUGUGCUGUUUGUCAGUAUUACACCAGUAACAAACAACUAGUGUCCACAAAACAAAACAAACAAACAAACAAUAAGAAACAUACACAGGGACAAAGACAGAGAAUAGAGUAAGAGAGAGAGAGAGUUAGAGUUAGAGAGAGAGAGAGAGAGAGAGUUAGAGAGAGAGAGACUUAGAGAGAGAGAGAGAGAACCCACAUACACAUUGUUGGUUCUAUCGUAAUGGUGUAAAUCCGCCUUAAUAAUAUUAAAUUAUCGAUUCGGAAAUGCAUUGUACGCGGUUUUUUUAAAAAUAUGAUACAUGUAUCCUUGAGGGGUAACUGGUAGGUAUUAAGCAGAUAAAAGAAAAGAAAUUGCUCAAUUGGUAAGUAAUGCAACUUUGAUUAUUAAAACCCUUUUUAAUUGUGCUGAUAAUAACCUAAAAAGGUUUGUUCAUAUUACAAUAUUUUAUGUGCGCAAUUGUGACUAAACACGAACAAUUUUGCUUUAAUUUGAAGAAUUUUCUACAACUUCAUUUGAUUUGUCCUUGAUAACUUUACAUUAUCUUAUACCUAUUUAUUUUUUUGCUUUCAUGAAACAUCAAUUUUGAUAUUUUCUUUUUAUAAAUUUAUGUAUUUUUGUAAGAUAAUAUGUUUAUUCAGAGAUUAUUUUACAUAACAAUAUCAUACAUGUUUUCUUCAACAAAAUAGCGUGGUGUAUAUAUUGACAUUGUUAAUUAUGUUAUUAACAACUCAAAAAGUAAAGCAAUGUAUAUCAAAGUAAAGAAAUGUAUUACACCUGCUUUAUAUUCAACAAAUAUCAACAGUUUUCUGUUCAUUUAUAUGUUUUAAUCACGUUUUCAAAGAGGUAACUCACUGAGGGAAAUCACCAACCUCUGAAUAGAUAAGAACGUACUUAUAACGUGGAUAUCCACCAUACCGACAAACCUGCUGAGAUUUCGUCAUCUUGAAUCACCUUUCGAUAGUUCCGGGUGAAUGUAACCUGCAAAUCAUUUGACGACAGACAACAAGAAACACUUAAGGCUUGUGUCCGUUCACCGUACAGACAUAGGGAGUAAUUUGGCCGCAAACAAAGUCAGAAACAUCGGUAGAAACCAGCUAUAUAGUGUAGUCCGUUCACCGUACACACCUAGGGAGUAAUUUGGUUGAAGCAAAGUCUUUAAACAUCAUACAGAAGUUCAGAAAUAAUAAAAUGGGAGAAGUACAUCUUAAUUGUACCGUUGUGGAUAUCAAAGAACACAUGAAGAUACGCUCUCUUAAAACAAUGCUCUUUCUUAUAUCAAAUGCGGAUUUAUGCUAUGGAGUUCUACAAUCAAACUUUCGACGUCAAAACUGUACACAAUUUUUAUGAAAAUUUCUCCGAAUGAAUAAUGUUGCCUGUUUUCUUUUUCCGAACCAAGUAAAUUACGUAAGGGAUCAUUUGAGGCACUACUUCGAAAAGCCAACUGCGGUUACAAAUGUGAUUGUUAUAUAUACUUGUAUUUCUAUAUCAAUGAAUUCAUUUGAUGCUCAUUUGUAAUAAAUUAGCGUUUAACUUAACAUAUAUUUACUUUUAUUCUACUUUUAGCGAAGCAUUCAAGACAUGUAAUAGUUAUAGGAUACCAACCAUUAAAAGCUACGUUACAUAGAGCAAUUAUACAGAUUUAAUCGAAAUACAACCAGCACAUUGCUCUUUAUUAUAAGAUUGAGUGCCACACACGUCACAAAAUGCUUCCCGUGUGUACAUUACCAAAAUCUUUAUGUUAGUCUACUGUUUAGCGCUGGCUGGUUAUUGACAACCAAAUCAUGUGCCCCUUUUACAAUUUUCUUGCAAUAUUUAUUUGUAUAUAUAUAUAUAUAUAUAUAUAUAUAUAUAUAUAUAUAUAUAUAUAUAUAUAUAUAUAUAUAUAUAUAUAUAUUUAUAUAUUUCACCUUGCUGGUUUACCGGUUAUGUGACUGUCGUUCAUGUAGCGUAUGAUGCUUUUAGUCGUUGUUCUGCUUUGAACAGAACAGAGCUUUAAUUUUGUCAUUUCAGUUACUGUGUAAUUUUAAUUUUGUGUUAUUUAAUGUUAUUUGUAAUUACCAAUGAAAAUCAAAGUAGACAUCCUUAGUAUGUAUGGUCUAUCUUUGUUGCUUUGGUUUGUAGGGCUGAAUCAGUUCUAUUGUGAAUGGCUAAAUGUAUAUUAUUUUGCCCUCAUCUAUUAUGAGUAUUUGUAUUAUUUAUUGAGAGGUAUCCAACUAUCAAUGUCAGAAUGAAAUUAGUCUGCCUUCAUCGUUUGGCCUUUUAUACAAAUGUUAUUCUGCAAAUAUAUUGUUAUACCGGUUGUCUGUUCAGAUCUCUACUCCAUCUUUACCUCUUAUGUUCAGAAUUAUCCAACUAUCAAUGUCAGAAUGAAAUUAGUCUGCCUUCAUCGUUUGGCCUUUUAUACAAAUGUUAUUCUGCAAAUAUAUUGUUAUACCGGUUGUCUGUUCAGAUCUCUACUCCAUCUUUACCUCUUAUGUUCAGAAUUAAAAAAUCUGGAUUUAUGUAUAUACAUUUUUAUUUGCAUCUGCUGCUUUUGUUUUAUUAUAGUUCUUGCCAAGCAGCCUUCGGGUGGGUGGUUUGGUGGCCUAUUUUUUUUUUUUGUUUCUACUCACCUUUUUUGUGGGCAGGCAUUUUUUUUAUGCUUGUUUUUACUUAUGUGUCUACAGUAAGGGGUCUGUCAUGUAUUUUUUUGUAGAUAUUUAUUUUCCAUAUGUGUCCCCUAUUUUGUAUAUAUCUUUUCGUCAUUUACUAAAUAAUGACAAUUUUCAUUCUUACACAUGUGUUCUGUUUCAUGCCUGCUUUAGCUAAAAACAAGCUCAGCCUCCUUAGCUAGAACAUAAAAGCUAAGGAACAUAAAUUAAUGAUUAUUGUAAAUAAUAACUUUUAUGUGACGUGCUGUGUUUAUUUGUUUGUUUAUCUCACUUUACACUGUUCCAUACUUUGUUUAUGUAAUCUCCUGAGGUCUAUGUUUACCCUAACCCUUAAUUUGUACUUCUAGUCUAAUCAGAUGUGUUCAAUUUGUCACGUGUCUCUUAUUGAUCUGUUUAUUUUGAACAAUAAGCCACGCAUUUGCUGUGCAGUGAAAUUUGUACCCACCGUCCACCCCUUCUACCUCCUUAGAUAGUUAUUUAUAUUUGUAAUAAUAGGGGGUCAUGGUUGCAUUCAGCACCACAUGUUUUAUUACUAUGUAACAUGUUUUUGAAUGCCCCCUUUUUUGUACAUAUAUUUUCGUCAUUUACUAAAUAGAUUACAAUUUUUAUUCUUA